rnacentral:lncRNA from 1 species
GGGCCCGGUGUAGCUUUUACUGACAUGUGAUUGGCCCGUUUGGUCAAGAAGUCAAACAUCUCGGGACCGAUCACAACCGUCCGAUUCACCCUUAAUAAGAUUUAAAGGAGUUCUCUUUUCAACCGUUAGAAUUCUUGCCUAAGAGGUUUGAUUGCAUUUAAGAGGUGAAAUUUUCAAGGCUUAAAAGAGUAAAUUUAUAAAAUCAUUAAAAUAUAAUAUUAAAUUAAAUAAAUUUAAAAGGAAAUAACCAAUGAUUAAAAAAAUUAAUUACAAUUUAAUUUAUUGGAACGAUUCUAAAUCACUCACACGGUCAUACACAAGCUUCAUAGGCUGACUAUUUCAAAAGUCCAACCAAUACUAAAACGCCAUUGGUCUAGAAUUAACAAAGUCAAAACUAUAGACAAAUCAUGUCCGAUCAAAAGAAUCCUUCACCGUUGAUAUAGUGGACCAAAAUAACUAUUUUGCAUAUGGGUUGAGAUUUUUGUGGGAUUCAGUGGAAUCCUAAUCCUUAAGCAACAAAUUAUUAAGGAUGAAACCAGACAAAUAAAUAAAAAUAUAAAAAGAGGUGGGACCCCAAAUCCACCAACUUGCUGAUAAAGCAAGGGCUUUGAUUACAUCAUGUGGGCACAUGCCACAUGGGUGGGCAUCAAGUCUAGUCUUCCUUCCAUCUAUUAUGAAAUCUAGGCAUAAGUGAAGAUCUUAUGCUUAUCAUUAUUCCAACAACAAGAUAAUAUAUAAUAAUAAAUAUAUUAAUGGAAAGAUAAAUAAAAAUAUUAUAAAAAAUUAGAACCUUUAAAAUAGUAUUUGGAGGUAAAAGUUCUUUGGAUAUCCUCUAUAUGAUUUAUUCAUAUUAUAAUAACAAUAAUAAUAAUAAUAUUAUUAUUAUUAUUAUUAUUAUUAUUUAAAUAUAUUAAUUAUUCUUAUUUUUAGUAAAAAUAUUUUUAAAUAAAAAAUUAAUUAUUCAAUCAAAUAUAGAAGUCAAACACCAUCCCAAACAAAAACUAGUUAUUUUAUAUUUUAUUUUACAAAAGUAAUGUUGCAUUAGAAAGGUAUUUGUAAGAAGAAAAGAAGGAAAGUGAUAAAGAAAAAAGAAAAUUUAAAUCUAAUAUUAUUUUUUCAUAUUUCUUAAAAUCAUAUUUUUUUUUAAAAUAUUUUUAUUAUAGUUGAGUAUUUUUUUUAAUUUUUUAUUUAAUUUUCCUACCAUUUUUCUAAUCCAAAUUGACUCUUACCUUGUUGGUUGAAGCAAUAAUAGGUGGAUGCAAUGUUAUUCCUAGAAAAGAAUAUUGUAUUAAAUAUUUUUUAUUUUUAUGGUAAUAAUGAAAUCUCUAUUUAGUAAAUGAAAAAUAAUUUUAAUAUUUUUAAAAUUCUAAUUAAAUAAAAUUAUUUUUCAUUAUUUUUAUGAAUGUUCGAAUAAUAAUUAUUGAGCUAUUUAGAUCGAUGGCAAUAAAUAUAAAAAAUAAAAAAUAUUUAUACCAUCUACUUUUUAUCAUUAUUUUUAGUAGAAAAAUAUGUUAAUUUUUAGGAGGAAUAUCUGAUUUAUAUAUAAUCUUUGUUAUUACCUUUUAAAGGUAAUCAUUUCCAAAGGUGACAUAGGUGAAAUAUUCCCAUCUAAUGUUAAUACUCCAUAAUUUUCUCGACAAAGUGACGUGGGUUUCAACCAUAAAAACAAAGAGAUUAGAAAAAACUAAGCAAUGAAUACAUAAUCAGAUCAUAAAACCCUAAAAAUAAGAAAAACGGUUUAGAUUAUUCUUAUAAGUUUUGGCUUUUAAACUAAAACCCUAAAAUUAGAUUAUGUCCCAAUUGACAAGAAUAGAGGUGCAUUUUCCGUAGUUACUAGUGGACAUGAGGGCAUUUGCGUCUUUUCAUUGCUCGGAUUCCUGGCCGGUGAAGCAAUAAGAGGAAAGACAGCUUCUGAGGAAAUCGCAGAGGGGACAGAAAGCGAAGCCAAAGAAGAAACCUAAAAUUUCUCUCUCUAGAAUUUCACACUCUAGAUUCAACAAUAGCUCUUUUGACUCUCUUUCGUUGAAAAAUUAGGGUUAGGGGUUUUCUAAUUUUCUUCAAUUUGGGGCUUGAUUUUGACCUGUUUCUGACCAAAUUGUAUAUAUCAUAGUGGUGAUUGUUAGAGUUUUUUUUGAGGGGUUUUGGAUCUGGGUCUUGUGUGUAAUUGCUUGAAAUUCAGAAAUUGAUCUGGGUUUGUUGUGAGGAAGCCAUGGCUGUUCCGACAAUUGCGUUGUACGCGAGUCCACCGAGCAGUGUUUGCUCGGCGUCGCACCCUUGCCAGAUCAACUCACACUCCUCGCACGAUUUCGAGCUGAAUUCGAGAUCUUCGUCGUCGGCGACGGCGUCUCCAUCGCAGAGGCCGGCCAUGGGGGGUCUCUCGUGCCUGUUCUCCUCGCCGGCGGUGAAGCACGCCGGCGGCGAAGAGUUGGGGUCGAUGUGGCACGACAGGGGCGAAGAGCUGAGCAGCUCCUUCUGCUAUUUGGGAUCGUCGUUGAAACGAGAUCGGAGCGAAUCAAGCCCGGUCUCGGUGUUUCAAGGCCCGGUUUCGUGUAGCAGCAGCGUUGGUGGGUCGUCCAGAAGCCCCCCGAUGAGAAUUGCCCGCGAAAGGAGCGGCGGCGAUGGGGUUUCCAGGGUUGGAACCAGUGGGUUGUUCAGUGGAUUUGUUAGAGGGGCUCUGGGUUCCUAUAUCGAUUAUGAUUCGCCCACCUUUGAGAUUGGUGGUGGUGCCCUCAAUGCGGAUUCCUCAUCAGUUCUGGUAGAUGAAUUGACCUUCAAUAUGGAAGAUAAUUUUCCGGACAGUAACUCCGAGCCUCAUGUGAAAGAUUUGCUCUUGGGUGCUCAAUUGAGGCACAAAAUAUUCUCUGAGGAUUUCGUUGUCAAGGCUUUUUACGAGGCCGAGAGGGCGCAUAGAGGGCAGGUAUAAUUUUGGUCGUGAAUUUUGAAAUAGAUUUUCUGGUUUUUUGGAUGUUUGAAUUUAUGAUGAUGGGUAUCCUAUUGCCCUUUUUGUAGAUGCGAGCCAGUGGGGAUCCUUAUUUACAGCAUUGUGUGGAGACUGCCGUCUUGCUGGCGAAAAUUGGUGCGAAUUCAACCGUCGUUGUUUCGGGGCUUCUCCAUGAUACCCUUGACGAUUCUUUUAUGGGUUACGAUGAUAUUUUUGGGACUUUUGGAGCUGGGGUUGCUGAUUUGGUUGAAGGGGUAAGAGGCAUACUUAGAAUCUAAGUAUUUGUGCUUAAAGAUACUGUUUGCUGCUGAAAAUUGAUUGUGGUAUUUUUUUUUGUUAAUGUUCAAAGCCCUUUUUCUAAAGGAAUCUUCUUUGGAGCAUUUACAGACAUGAUUACUGUUGAUGACCUAUUCAAUUGAGAUAUAAAGGAAUCAGAUGUGAACUAGUUAAAAAAGUGCUUAUGAUCUAAGUUUUAUGUUAGAUUUACAUCAAUGCGGAAGUUGGAGUCUGAUAUGAUUAAUAGAUCACUUGGAUUAUGUGUAAAUAGGUUAUAGUUGUAGCUGUUAUAUUACUUAUGUGGUUGGCUUGAAUUAGAAUCACAAAUUCACAGUGCUCCAUCUUCGAGAUAUUCUUAGACUUACAUCAUUUUGUCAUGGAAUAUUUUGCCAUGAGGUGUGAAUUAAUGAUUGUGUUCUAAGAUUAAAAAAUAUUUUUAUAUGUUUAUGUUUUAUUUCAAUGGAAGAUACAAGGUAUAAUGUUUGGUAUAGAUCGUGUGGUUAAGUAGUUAUUGUUUUGUUUUCAUCCUAUCAAUUGCUUCUUGUGGUAAUAAAGAAAUGAUUAAAGCGUAACAUCUAUUAUGGUGUUCUUUUCCACGGCUAGAGACACUUCUAAGUUGGCAUGAUUUUUGUUUGGGAAGAAAACAUGAGAAGGUAUGGGAAGCUGUUUCUGUGUGCAUUUUUUGAAUGAUUUGGAAGGAAAGAAAUCCAAGAGCGAUCAAAAGCUUAAAUGAACAAAGUAACCUUUUAGUAUGGGUUUGGUUCUACAUAAAAGAAAGCAUAAUGCCUUUGAUUUGUAGAUUGGUUGCAAUUGUUCCGUGGGGGAAUGUUGUUUUUUUGUGUUAUCUCUUUUUUUAUAUUGCCAUUUUGUACCCUUUGUUAAGUCUUGUGUACUUAGAUGUCUGUUAUGUCAAUCACUAUUUUUCCAUGUUACUCCUUUUUUUAUUUGUUUUUGCUGGUGGUGGAGGCAGGCAUGGUUUCCAGAUUUUAAGGUUAUAUUAAUGUGGACCUUAUGGUACUGUGUCUCUUAGUGAUUCUACUUUCCUUGUGUUUUCCUUGCUUAACAAACAAUGACAGGGACCACUAACAUGCAUUUUGUACUGAAACUUGAUAAGAUCUCAUGAUUUUUAAAGAGUUCAUACUUUUGUAGUGUAAAUUGGCAAUAUUAUUUAUUGGAUUUUGAAAUUUUUAAACAUUUUCCUCAGUUUGCUUCAUGAUACAAGCAGUUCAUAAGAUAUAGUUUUUGUUCCUAGUAAAAUCAUUGCAUGUUUAUUUUGGUAUAAUAUACUGAUAAAAUAUUCAAUUUUUUAGGCUUCUAAAUACCAUUUGAUGACAUUUGUUAGGUGUCUAAGCUAAGUCAAUUGAGCAAGCUAGCACGUGAUAACAAUACAGCAAGUAAAACGGUUGAGGCAGAUCGAUUGCACACCAUGUUCCUUGCCAUGGCAGAUGCCAGGGCUGUCCUCAUAAAGUUGGCAGAUCGAUUGCAUAAUAUGAUGACACUGGAUGCAUUGCCUUUGGGCAAGCAACAGAGGUUUGCUAAGGAAACUCUGGAGAUAUUUGUGCCAUUGGCCAACCGGCUAGGAAUCUCUACUUGGAAGGAACAACUAGAAAACCUGUGUUUCAAGCAUCUCAAUCCAGAUCAGCAUAAAGAACUAUCCUCCAAGCUUGUGAAGUCCUUCGAUGAGGCUAUGAUUACUUCUGCUAAAGAGAAAUUAGAGCCAGCCCUUAAGGAUGAAGCCAUUUCUUACCAUGUUUUAUCUGGGAGACACAAAAGCUUGUAUAGCAUUUACUGCAAAAUGUUGAAGUAUGUCGUCCGUUUCUCUUCCCGUAUUUGUCAUACUAUAUGUUUUCAUAAAAUUCAGACUUGGAAAGUAAUUGCUUUUGAAUUGUGCAGAAAGAACAUGACCAUGGAUGAGAUACAUGAUAUUCAUGGAUUACGAUUGAUUGUUGAAAAUGAGGAAGACUGUUAUAAAGCACUUGGAGUUGUUCACCGAUUAUGGUCUGAAGUGCCUGGAAGGUUCAAGGACUAUAUAAAGCAUUCCAAGUUUAAUGGGUAAGUUAGGGAUGAAAGUGAUUGUGCAUUAUUUUAUGUGUUUGUUUGUUUCCCCCUUUUUUUUUUAUUUUUUAUUUUAAUUUGUAGGUACCGAUCUCUUCAUACGGUGGUGAGGGGUGAAGGCAUGGUUCCACUUGAAGUUCAAAUCCGAACAAGGGAAAUGCAUUUACAAGCCGAGUAUGGAUUUGCAGCUCAUUGGAGAUACAAGGAAGGUGACUGUACGCACUCUUCAUUUGUGCUUCAGAUGGUUGAGUGGGCUCGAUGGGUGGUCACUUGGCACUGUGAGACGAUGAGCAAAGAUCAAUCACCUGUUGGCUAUGAUAAUUCCAUCAAGCCACCCUGCAAGUUCCCAUCUCAUUCUGAUGGUUGCCCAUUUUCUUAUAAACCGGACUGCAGCCAGGAUGGACCUGUCUUUGUCAUCAUGCUGGAGAAUGAUAAGGUUUGCUUUUGAAAUUUCUAUAUUUAUUUUAGAAAAAAUAUUCCUCUGAUGACCAGGUGGGUCCACUUGAGACGACUUCAUUAUGCCAAUACCAUUUCAAUUCUAUUCCAGUCAAACUUGGUUUGAUUUUGAGGCCUUGAUUUUAUGUAAAUACCUCAUGCUGAUAUUGUAUCAUCCAUCAGUAAACCAUAUCCAUUUCUUCCAUUUUCUCACUCUGGAUCGACCAGUUCAUGAAUACUAAGCAAAACAUUUCUGGGUUUGUGAACGUUGCAGAUGUCGGUCCAAGAAUGCCCUGCAAACUCAACCAUAAUGGAUCUGUUGGAAAGAACCGGGCGGGGAAGCUCAAGAUGGACGCCCUAUGGGUUUCCAAUCAAGGAAGAACUGAGGCCACGGCUGAACCAUGAGGCUGUGAACGACCCCACUUGCAAACUGAAGAUGGGGGAUGUGGUGGAGCUAACUCCAGCCAUACCAGACAAGUCUUUGAUAGUGUACAGGGAAGAGAUCCAGCGGAUGUAUGAGCGGGGCGUGAGCGUAUCGAGCAAAUGGUCUGCAGCUAGUAGCAUGGUUGGCUGGAGAAGUUAACCUUUGGUUUGUCUGUUGGUUUCUACCCUUAUAGAGUGCAUUACCAUUCAAUGAUAAUCAUUCUUGUAUAUACAUGAUAGAUAUUUGUACAGAAGAGCUUUAUGGUUCUGGUAUGAGUGGAAAAUUGACUAACUUAGAUUGACCAAGGACCAAAAGUUUGAUCUCCAGCUAUUGAUUCAUCGAUAUAAUAGAAUUCUACCUUGCCUCAGUCCAAUUUGGUGUUUCCUUUUAUUUUUUUUUAAUUUUAUUUACAUGCAUCUUGAUUGGAGUAUUGCUUUUGAGAAACCUGCUUGAUAUGAUCAUAUUUGGGAAGCGAAGCAAAUUCCUCAUUUUUUUUUUAUUUUUUUAAUUAUUCUUAGUUAUUACUUUAUUUGACCUUUUUAAUCUUUUAUUUCUUUUAAAAUGGUAUAAAAUAAAUUGUAAUAAAAAAUAAUAAAUUUCUAAAGGAAUGCUUUAUCCUUUUUUUUAGUUCUAAUAAAUGAAACUUAAAAUUAAAUAUAAUAAUUAGGACGAUAAAAAAUUUAAAGAUAAAUAUCAAAAUUAAUAUCUAAGAUAAAUUAUAAUAAUUAAUAUAAAAAAUGCUAGAUGAAUUGUAUUUGUAUUAUACAAUUAGUACAAUUUUUUUUAAAUUUUUUUAAACUAAUCCAAGUUUAUUAAUCUGUUUCACAAUGGUGUUUCCACACUUUUAAUAAAAAAGUAUUUAAAAGUAUUUUUUUUUUUUAAAUUAGAUGUCUGACAAAAUUUAAUAAAUAUUUUUAAAAAUAUAAAAAAUCGUAAUGUUUUAUAAAAAAAAUUCUUGAUAAAUAAUUUUCCUAAAAAUACUUUUCAAGAAAAUAAUUCCCAGUGAAAAUAUUGAGAGAUUUCACUAACAAAACGAGACAUGACUGACAUGAUCUUAUUUUCAUCUUUUAAAUGCUAGUUUCUUAAAGGUUAAAAGUCAGAAGCAUGAGAAGCAUAUUCCAUUAAAGACAACAAAUUACACCAAUUAUUGAAUAUUCUUAUGAUUUUGAAAGAAAUAUAGAUCUUUCCACCCAAUUCCUACUACAAUUUAGGGUAACAAUACCUUGAUGAGAAGAAUUCCUAAACAUCGGAUAGAUCUCCUAAACAUCUAACAUAAUAAAUUUUCACCUUGGGCGUUUAGCUCCAAUGGGAAAUGAUACCCUUUGAGGAGUGUGCUGGGGCAAAUCUGUCCUCCCUUCCUGGGAAGCGUGGGAGGGAUCAGCACCUUCUUCGUCUUCUUCUGUUUCUUCCACUGCUUGGGCUGUUCUCUUCUUUGGGAUAGCUAGUUGGUAGUUCGGGCUGAUCAAUGUGUCCUGUUCAGGUGGGAGAGGGAUUCCAGGCCCUGCAAUUGAUUUUGGCAGUGGGAUCUUGUUCCUGUUUCUAGCCAACUCUAGAAGGACCUGAUGAAUGGAACAGUUAGAUUAUAUAUGCUAUAGACAUAUUGAUAUGGAAUAACACUGGUAAUUAACCAAAUACCGGGUCAGAGAAGAGAGGAGAGGAGUCAGGAUUCCCACAGACCUAAGUCUCAGUCUGAAUUGGGUCUCACAGACUGAGAGGAAAUGGGAAUAGGAAAAGUAAAGAAGAAAAUAAAGUGUGAACAUAAUCUCUCUUUCACUCUUCCCCUUGCUUUUCUUUAUAUGUCAAACAGAAAAUGUAGAUUUCCAACACAUAAAUUUCUCCUAGACUUCAUCAUGUUUGUUUCCAUUCCUUUCUAUCACUAAAACUAAACCAUAAAAUAUUGAAAUUCCUUCGAAUUUUUUUCCCUCGCCUUCAUAGACUAAAAGCCUCGCCAAGCAACCAAAAAACAAAAAGAAGAAAAAAUGUUGAGCAGAAUCAUAUUCCUGGAAGAGAUUAUAAGGAUGGGUUAGCGGUAUGAGUGGUAGAAUCCACCAUUUCUUACUAUUAACAAGCCCAUCCAAUGUAAUAUGGGAGAUGAGAUUAAAAAAAGGAGGAAACAGGAAAUUAGGGAAACAAAUACCAGAUUUUGCAUGGUUCAUCAGAUUCCAAUUCUCAUAGGGUACAAACAAACAAAAGCAGUGACAGAAAAAACAUGAUAUUCUUACACUAGGUUGUUACUUAAACCCAAAAUGAAAAAUUAGUUGUCAACAAAUUAGGUGCUUUUUUUAUGACCUUUUUUUUGGUUAAGUGAUUUCUUUUCUAUGAAGAACAAAAAAUUGUUGUUUCCAACCUCAAUACUUUUCCAUUUGAAUCCCAGAAAAAAAUGAGGGAAAGGAAAGAAAACGCUAAAAACAGCAUUGUUUUUCAGCAAUGUAAAGAACAAAUUCUAAAUUAUUUUUUUAGCACUGUUCUCCCCUUCCCACCAUACUAAACAACAUCCAACCCAAGCCUAAACUUGCUCAACUGGCAACAUGCCUAUAAUCAACUUUUGCUUUGUCACUCAACCAGAAUCCCAAUCUCUAAAGCUUGCAUCAUAUCCAAUUAAGCUUUUGUUCAACACCCAAGUUUGAUAGGUACAAUACUCCACAAUUAAACCUGCAUAAACUGAUACAAGUGAACCCCAUUUGUCUAAAGCCUUGACCUUCAAAACAAGAAAUGAUACCCAAUUCAAUUUGUUUUGAGAAUCCAACAAUCAAAAUAAGAUCAAGAACAUUGUAAAUUUAGCAUAACAAGGAAAACUAUUAAAGGCCCAGGCUUCAAAACAAGUUCAAUAUCAAGAACAUGAAAAAUUUAGGAAAAUUACCUCUCUUGCUGGGGGCUGAGAGAAGCUGAAGUUGACUUUAGACUGAAUUGCAAGCUUCACAUCAUCACAGUCAAUUGCAGGCUUACUGGCAUGCUCUGAAUAUACCUGGGCAUCAGUCAAAACAUCCACAACAUACCGAUACCACAGCUCCAGAAACUGGUGUAUAACUCGAGGCUCAUAGUCAUCAACACCCAUUGAUUUCAGCAGUGAUUUCACAAUCUUUGCAUCCCUUGGCAAGUCCUCAUCUCCCUCUGCCAUUCUCUCAACUGCCCCUUUCACACGAAUCAAUAGCCAAUAUUAAAAAAACUCUUUCUUUACACCAAUUAUAUGUGCAGUGAGUGUUUUCACAUGAACCAAUCAUGAACAUUCAGAAUUUUCCUUCGCACCAAACAGAUAAAACUAGCAAAAUAAAAUUCAACACUCAAACGAAAAUACAGAAAAUUUGAAAAUUAACUUUGAAUCAUCAACAGACUUCGGGCAAAUUUCUUGGACGUAAAGAGGCCAAAGCGAAACUAAGAUUUUGGACUGUUAUAGACUAUAUUAAAAAAAUUCUUCCUUUACACGAAUUAUAGGUACAGUAAGUGCUUUCAGAUGAACCAAUCAUCACUAUUCACAAUUUUCCUUCGCACCAAAAAGAUAAAACUAACAAAAUCAAAUUCAAUACUAAAACGAAAAUACAGAAAUUUUGUAAAUUAACUUUGAAUCAUCAAGAGACUCGGGGCAAUGUUCUUGGACGUACAGAGGCCAAAUCGAAACUAAGAUUUUGGAUUUUUCGAAACGCAUCGUUUCAUCUAGGGCUUUACAUCCCAGAUCCAUGGUGAGAGAAAGAGAGAGCUUUGCUUACCGGUAAGGGAUGAUUGGGCGGAAAGUUUUUCCGGAGCAGUACAGGUUCAAAUAAUCGGCGAACUAUGGGGAAAAGGAGAAUCGCCGGCGACGACUUGAGCGGCGAUGACAGUAUUGAAUGGGAGGAGAGUAGGGAUUCGCCCUAAGCAGAAAAGAAAAAUACCAAACGCACCCUCCUCAGGUUUUGGGUAAUAUCAAGGAUACCCCUGUACUUUUCGGGAAAUUUCAUGUUGGGGGAGGCCCAAAUACGAAAAAAAUUUCUCAAUUAAAUACAAAAUUCUCAAUCCUUUUUACAAUAUUUUUUUAAAAAAUUCUCAAUUAUUUUCGUCAAAAAUUCUUGAAAAAUUAUUUUUAAUAAAAAAAUUUACUAAAUAGUUUUUUGAGAUUUAAAAAGUCUUGGAUAUAUUUGAUACGAACGUAAAUGAUAAUAAUCGAAUGUUUUAAAAUAUUUAAUUUAUUGGGUUAAUUUGUUUUUGUGUAAGUCGGUUAAAACUAGAUUAAAGAAUUGAUAUCAAAUUCAAAAGUUAAGCGAUAAAAAAUGAUUUUAAAUUAUUUUAAAAAUAUAAUUUUGUUUGAAAAUUCAAAUAUACAAGUGAAUUGAUUUAUUUUUAUUUUUAUGUUUUGCAAAAACAAAAUUUUUUAAGAAACUCUUUGCUUAAAAUUAAUUUAAGAGAAGUAAAAAUAUAUAUGUAUAUAUUUAAAAAAAAUAAUAUAUGAGUGAGAAAAAUAUUACUUCUUAUAAGCUUUACUUUACUUUACUUUAUUUUCUUAAUUUAGUUUUUCAAUGGGGUUUAGAUUUAUUUUUUAUUUUUUAUUUAUAAUAUGACUCAAAUAUUGUCCAAAUCAUAAUGAAAAAAAAUCAUCAUACAUUGGCCACAAAGAAUCCAUCAAUCCAAACACCAAAUUUCAAUUAUUCCUACAUUCACUACUACAUGAAAACAAACAUUAAAAUCCAUUAUUAAUUCCUCUAUCUCCAAAAGAAUUCUUGAGCAGACUCUUGCCAUGAGAGCACAAGCACAAGCAUCACCAGCACAGCAGCUAGUCCCCAUGAUGAGCUCCCAAUUCUCAGCACCCAUGACGGAUCUGGAGAUGGAACUGCACCCGAAGAAGACGACGAUGAAGAUGAAGAUGAUGAUGUUAUUUUGAUGCCUAUUAUAAGGCCUGCAAGAACCAUAGGAAGAAGAAAAGCACUUGACGAGCUCAAGAACCUUGCCUCAUAAUGUGUAUUGUACAGUGGUGAAAGCACUAUUGAAGAAGCCAAGGCAAGAGCCAUGGCUCGUGCUCUUGUACUAGAAAUGCUGCUGCUUGGGCUUUGGCUUGUGCGAGUAGUGUAGGGAUCCAUCGAUCUCAAUAUGCCAAAACCCCUAGUCGAAGUUGGGGUUUUGUUGCGGACAGGGGGUGGAGGAGAGGAAGAAAUCUAGGUGUAAAGGUCGAGAAUUGAGUGGGGGAAAGGGGGAUGGAGUCCAAAAAGUUAAAAAGAUAAAGGUAAAAUAUGAAUUGAAUAGUGGGAAAAAUGAAGGGGAUCUUGAAAGAAGUAUUGGGAAGCAAGGUAUCUUUAGGUGUGGGAAUGAGUGUGUUCACACCAAAGCCAUUGGUGUUGGUGAGAUAGAUAUAGUCAUUUGCUUUGGAAAAUUGGCAUGCAGCUGUUUGUUUCCAAGUUGGAGGAGGAAAUGUUAAAGGAUCUUUCUAUAAAAAGAAGGUAAGAAAAGUUGAUAGAAAGUGUUUGUUUUAAUAAUUUAGUUUUAUUUCUUUUUUAUAAUUUUAUUAUAUAUAUAUAUUUCUUUCUACUUUAUUUCCUUUCAUUUUUAGUAACUGUACAUAAUUUUAAAGAAUUCAACUUAUCUAUUUAUAAAUUAUAUUUAUUUUAAUAUAAUUAAAAAUAUAAAAUAAUAACUCAAAAUUUUUAAAGAUAACGUGCUCGUAAAGUAUAUACAAGAGAGUUUGUGAGGUGGGAUAGUCAUAUAAAAUAUCUUAAAGUUGGAAUUAGUAACUAUGACUUUUGAUAUGAGGUUUAACUCAUUCAAUUAGUUCGUAAUCUUCUUAAACUCACCUGCUACUCAUUCCUAUUGACAAUGAUGAUGUUACGAGACUUUUUUUUCUUUUCUUCAUUAUGGUAUUUUUUAGAAAAAAAAAAAACCAAAAGACUUUCACAAGAAACCAUAGUUACCUUCCUUUUAUCUUAGGAUUUUCUUUUAAGUUACAAGUUGUUUUAAUAAAAUAACCUAAAUAAAAACUCUUUUUAAUCUACUUUUAAAUCAAUUUUUAAAAAUAAAAGUCUUUUUCUUAGGGAUUAAUCAUUUUUUAUAUCUAUGCGGUACAUUUUAUGAAAAGAACUUAUGAUUCAAAGGCAAAAAAAGAAAACUUAAUAUGAAAUCUAAAAAAACACUUUUUAAUAUUUUGGAUUAAACAAUUUCUUGUAAUAGGAAGGUUUUUUUUUUUUUUUUUUUUUGUGUUUAUAAUAUUAAUAUUAUCUUUUGAAAGUUAUGAUUUUAACUACACUUUUUAACUUUUACCAUAAAAAUCAAAAUUUACAUUUAGAAAACUUGUAAAAAGUAGAUCCAAACAAACCAAUAAAAAAAAAACUAUAUAUAAUAAUGCACAAGUUCCAUCUACUUAGGAAAGUAAAAAGAAAAUCAAAGAAGCACUCAUCCCAAAUCACAGUGUGGUGUGCUUCCUAAGGCAAGCAAAUAUUCCCAUCACAAGGAUUUGUUUUCCCCUUUUGUUUUGAUAUAGUAGUGGGGUAAGUAAGUCAAGCAACCCAUAUGUCCAUUGUUUUCAAUUGUAGGUUGAGUUUUGUUUCUUUCUACCUUCUUUGAAAGUUGUUAAAUGUUGUAUCAUGUGAAGUUAAUUGGUCGAAAGACUUGUACAAUAUAUUUCUCUUUCAAAAUCUUCACAAUCUUCAUGGAAAGAAUUUGUCGGCCAACAUCAUGAACUUUAAGUAUUAUUUUAAUUCAUUUUUGUUGUGUAUCAAUUAAAAGUUUUGAAAAUGUCACACGUCAAUCCAUUGUAAUUAUGAUAUAAAUUUUUUUAACAAACAUCUAACACAUCUUUACACAAAACUACAUAGACAUAGUCCUAUGUGUAUUUACGUGCCCUUUUAGGACUAGGUAGACAAGUUCUAUAAUGGGUUAAUGAUUGACUCCCUACUUCCCUUAUAACCAUUAUUUAUUUUGAGUUUAUCCCGACUUUUGUUUUCUUAAAGAAAAUAUCAAUAAUAUAAAAUAAUUUAUAAUUGAAACAAAACUUUUUUAAAGAACAAUAUCAAUAAGUUUGGUAACGUUUUUUCUCGUGUUUUAUAAAUUAAUGAAAAAAAUAAAUUUAAUUUAAGAAAAGCUUGAUAUAGAAAUUAGGAAAAAUAUCUCUAUUUUUUUUUUUAUUAAGAGAGAAGCGAAUUUUUGUAGCUAUUUGGAACAUGUAUCAUUUUCUCCUAGUGGUGUUUUAAAAAAUUUAAAAUAUUUAUCAUAUGUAUUUUUGUAAUAAGAGAAAAUUAGGGGGCAAAUAAGGCAAAUCAGUUGCAAAAGUUAGUUCUAAUACGAAGCAGAUUUUGAGGUCAGGUGAGGAAUGAAACGCGCAACAUGUCAGAAAAAUCUCAUAGUAUUCCGAAAAUGCCCCUAUGAUCAAGUCCAACUAUAAAAACCACCGCGAAAAAGAGGCUCAACAGACACCACCACCACACUCCAUGGCUUCUCUCCACCUCUGGCGUCUUCUCUCCCUCUACAUCUCCUCCAUUGCCGCCGUCCUUCGCCGUGCCUCCCCCGCUCUUUCCCGCCUCAUCCGCUGUUCAAUCAUCGUCACCCUCAUCGAAUCCUGCCUCUCUCUAUACUUCAUAUUCCUCGGCCUCUCCCCCACCACCGUGGAACUCGAUGACCACACCACCGUCCACUUCUGGACCUCCGCCCACCGCCGCUUCAGCCGCCCCAACCUCGUCCUCGUCCACGGCUUCGGCGGCAACUCGCGGUGGCAGUUCCUCCAGCUGGUGGGUCCUCUCUCCAGGUCCUUCAACCUAUACGUCCCCGACCUGCUCUUCUUCGGGAAAUCACACACUUUCCGCCGGAACCGGAGCGAGGGGUUUCAGGCGAGGUGCGUGGUGGAGGGGCUGAGGGGAUUGGGUGUGGGGAGGUGCAGGGUGUUCGGGAUCAGCUAUGGUGGAUACGUGGCGUAUCGGAUGGCGGAGAUGUGGCCGGAGGUAGUGGAGAGGGUGGCGAUUGCAAGCUGUGGAAUUGGGUAUACGGAGGAGCAGAAGAGGGAACACUUAGGAAAGCUCGGGAGGAGUGUGACGGAGAUUUUCUUGCCGGAGAGUCCAAAGAAUCUCCGGCGACUGCUGAAUCUCUCCAUAUACAAGUUCGAUCCUCUCAAAUGGGCCCCUGACUUUUUUCUUCAACAUUUAAUAGAUGUAAGUUGCACCCAUCUAACCUUACGACCAUCUAUUUCAAAAUUAAUGCAAUUAAAUCAUAGAUAAUGAAAUGGAAAAAAGAAGAUAAGUCUUGAUAAAUAAUUAGGGUUUUAGAUAUAAAUAAUUUAUAUCAAAUUCCUACAAAUAAAUAAAAUAUUGAUAUUAAUGCUUCCAAGUCUUAUGGUGAUGGAUGAAAGAUUGAUUUUUUUUUUUAAUCAAAUUAAUUACUUUAGCCAAAUGGGAAAAAAAAAUACUAAAUCAUUUGUAUUUCUAUGUAGUAACUAAUAAUUUUAUAUAUAUAUAUAUAUAUAUAUAUAUAUUUUAUUUAUUAAAAUGAUAACUUAAUAAAAUUCAAACUAGUGAUUUUCAAGAGAUUAAAAUUGUUAAAGAAUAUGAUAUAACCCAAAUCCUACAAUCUUAAACUUUUAGGAAAAUUGGUUGUUCAAUAUGAUAUCAGAACUUGAUUAAGUUUCUGUAAUUUGCAUGUUUGUUUUUUUAUUUAAUAUAUAUGUUAGAUAUGAAUUCAAUUUAAUUUGUCUCUCCAUGUGCAACCCCGAUCUUAAGAAGUAUGUUUAAGUUCUUAGAAAAAUUAGUUGUUUAAUAUAGUAUUAGAGUAAAAUUGAUUUUUAAUGGAACAGUUGAUUUAUGAUCUCAUUAAAAAGAGUUCAAAAUAAGAAACUCUAAAUUUCAUUCUCUCUUUUUCUCUUUGAGUCUAUUUGGAUUUCACAAAUUUAAGAGUUUCCAUCGAGUAAAAUGUUAUAUCAUAAGUUAUAUGUAUCAAAGUCACGUAUUAAUGAAUAAUUUAAAAUGUUGUUAUCAAAUUAAUAACUUAAUAUGAUGUAAUCGAAGAGUGAUGAUUCUUAAUAGGUUAGUGUUAAGAUCUAAGCUCAAAUUCAGUAAAAUGAUAUUUUUGAUGCAUAUUACAUAUUUUGAUAAAAGGAAAUAAUAUAUAUAUAUAUAUUGAAUUUACACUUUUAGCUCAAUGAUAUCUAAAGUUUUAACCACAUGAAAUCUAAGAUUUAGUUGUGGUUUGGUAAAACUUAAAACUUAUUAUUUAAUGAUUUAAGUUGACUUUAAAUUAAAAUUUUUUUAAAUUAUGAACUUAAAUUUAUUAUUUUAAGUAUUAAAGUUGUUUGGUAAAACUAACUUAAAAGUUAUUUCAAGCUAUUCAAUUAAUAUAUUUACCCCAUUAGUUGUAAUUAAUAUUUAUUAUUAAUUUUUUUAAUUAAUAUUUAUUUUCAUUAAUUUUAAAUAAUAAAAUUGUUUAUUUAACAUUCAUACUUAAUGUACCUUAGAUUUAUGAGAUAAUCUUAAAAUAUUUACUAUAAAAAAUAAGUUAUAGAUUUGAAGUCAUAAUUGUGAAAUAUAUUCUUGUUAGAUAUGAGUAAAUAAGACAAAAAUAAAAUAAAAUUAUGAUUAAAAAUUAGUUAGCUAUUUUAACCUAAUAUUUAAAGUCAUUUUUAAUUUUAAAUUAUGAUAUUAAGUUAUUUUAUCAAACAUGUUUAAUCUACUAAAUAAGUUAAAUUAAAUUAUUAAGUCCUUGGGUUGCAAAAGCCUGAAACAUAUGUUUAAGAGUAUUUAUCCCUAAUAUUUGAAAUGGGUUGUGGCUCAUUAGGCAAUGUUGAAGGAUUACAGAAAGGAGAAGUUAGAGUUGCUUGAGCACUUGCUGGCCCAGAAAGCUGAUCCAGACAUUCCCAUUCCCCCUCAGGUAAGAAAAGUAAAAAAUAAAUAAAUAAAUAAAAAUUCAUAGCAGUUUCAGAAAAUUUCCUCAUUGUUUCAUAUUUAUGAGACUUUAUUCAAAAAAUGAGACUUUAUUCAAAAAUUUCAUAUCAUUAAUUUUCCUUUUUUAGGGUACUUUUUUUUUUUUAUAACCUUGGAUGUCCGGACCAGCUUACGUACAUCUCGACUAAUUUCACGGGACCCUGAAGUUAACGAUCGGGUAAGCCUCAAGUGGCCUUGAGGGGACUAUAACCGGUGAUCAUUGGGAAACAAACCCAAGACAGGACCUUUUUUGGGCACUUUUCAAUUCUUAGAAAAUGGGUUUCCUUUUUCUUGGACUUGGAUUAUAUAUCAAUCCUUAGUUUCCUUUUGUCAUUAGAUGUAUCUUAUGGCUUUUCAAUUCAAUUCCGAAUCAAUAUCAAAGCCUUUAAGGUUACAUUUAUUUUCAAGUACGUUUUAGGUUUGUCCUUAAUUGCAUUAUGCCAUUAGCUGUAUCAUAUGUCUUUUCAAUUCAAUCCAUCCAUGACAAAUCACUAUCAAAACCUUCAAAAUUAAACUUAUUUUGAUGUGGGUGAAGGAAACAAUGCUCAUUUGGGGUGAUAAGGACGAUGUAUUUCCACCCUUGCUGGCUUUCCAACUGCAAAGGUAUCUUCUUCAUUUUAAACCCACUUUGUGAUGUUUUUGUUUUUGUCUUCAGUUUGUAACAUAUGUUGUGGGCGCAGGCACUUUGGUCCAAAGACAAAGCUGGAAAUAAUCAAGGACACAGGCCAUGCUUUAAACAUCGACUCGCCUGCUCGGCUAUAUGAAUUGAUCGAGUCCUUUUCUUUGGGUUGUUCCAAUUCCAAGGAUGAUGAUAUAUGAAAACAAAUUUGUUGAAGUUAUGUCACAAAACUCUUUCGUUGUUCCUAAUGAAAAGGAUAUGACAUCGUUGUUGUUGUUUUACUUUUUGCUCGUGUUUUAGUAUUAUUAUAUUUUUUAUCUUAUUCUUUAUUGAUUAUUAAUAUAAUUAAAUAAAAAAUGAUUUAAUUUAUUUAUAAAAAUAAAUUAUGAAAUUUUAUGAUAUUUAUUCAUUUAUAAAUAACAUUUAUUUUUAAUUUAAUUAAAAAUUUUAAAAUAAAAAAAAUAUUAAAUAAAAUGAAAUAAUUAAGGCUACAACUUGAGUGAGUUGGUUAGAUCGAUGACAAAUCAAGUCCAACUCCAAUUAAGAAAUAAUUAAUCCAAAACUCAAUCCAACCUGAUUUUAACUCGAGGUACUCAAUUCAAACCCAAUCCAACCUUAUUUUUUUAAAUUCGGGUUGUUCAAGUUAGAUUCGAGUUGAUCGGAUUAGACUUGGGUUAGCCUGGUUGCAUAAUUUAAAUUCUAUCUAUGAUAUUAUUUUAUUGUAUUUAUAUGAAAAUUUAAAUAACAAAUAGGACAAAAUUUCUAUAUAGGAAUAAAAGAAUAAAUAUAUAUUUAUAUAUUUUCUAAAAAUAAUGAAAAACAUAUGAUAUAAUUUAAUUUGAUAUUUUUCUUAAAAAUAGAAAAAUAAAAUAAAUAUUAUUAUAUAAGAUAAAAUGCAUUAUAAAUAUUAUAAAAAUAUUAAAUCCAUUUGGAUUAGACUCGAAUUAUCCAAAUCUUAACUUGAAUCCAACUCAAGCGGAGCUUAGAUUGAAAAAAUCUAACCUAAGUCCAAUUCAAGUAUUAAAAAUAAUUGUUUAAACUCAUUCAAACAUUAGGUUGAACAAGUUGAGAUACAUGUGAUUCGUCUUAAACGUGACUAUUAAUGUUGUUUUCUUGGUCAUAUACAAGUUAUGUUUUUUUUUAUAUAUUAAUAUUUAGUCUUUUUUAUUUAUUUAAAUUUAUUUAUUUUUUGUAUUUUGAUAUUAUUUAUUUAUGAUUAAGUAUUUUUUUUAUAUGUAUAUAUCUUUAUAUAAUAAUCUAAAUUUAAUAAUACAUAUUAAGAAAAUUAGAUUAAAAAUUAUUAGUGAAAGAAGCAACUUUCAAAUUUUUUCAAAAGUCAUUUACAAUUUUAAAAUGAGCUUAAGAGUGAAAGCAAGAAAAUGAUGGAUUCUUGAAAAAUAAAUAAUCGUGUGGUGGGGAUGAAAACAACGCAUUUUGUGCACUACGGGCGAUAUUCUUUGAACCACGUCUAGGACGGCUACAAGCAUGAAACGCUGCGUUUUAUGGAAGCUAGGAUGAGAAACGAUGGAUUAAACGACGCCGUUUUCAGAUCCUAUAAAAAAGUCUCAGCUUUAUCCCACUGAACUGCAAAUCCACCACCACUCCUGCCGUCUCCGUCGCAACGCCACCGCCACAUGUCCGCACACGACCAAGCAGCGGCGGCGAUCCUCGCUCAAGUAGCCCUAGCCGCCGACGGAGCCAUCCUCGGCUUAGCCCUAGCCUACGUCGCCGUUCGCAGUUUUAUCAGGCUCUCAUCCACCUCCUCCGCCCUCCGCCAAAUUGAUCAGUCUCCGUCUUUCCGCGUCUCCGAUCUCCGAUCCCUCCUCUCUCCCUCCAGCGACGAUGAAUCCGACCAGUCUACGUCGUCCGAUGGCCUGCUCGUCGUCGUCCGCGGCACCGUCGAGGCGAAAUCGGCCAUUGACGGCAACUGGAAGAGCUUGCGUCCCAAUGUUCUCGUCUCUCACGAAUCAGGCGAGAAAGGUGUCAUCUUGCAGCGAACGCAAACGGUAUGUUUGAAAUUUAGCUACCUUUAUUUCCGUUUGGUUGGCAAGAGAAAGGAGCAAAAGAAAAUGGGAAUUUGAAUUUCUGCGGGGAAAUAUUUGUAAAUUCACCUCCCCUAAGCGGAAAUUGAGCUUGUUUAAAUGAGAUCGUAGUGGUAGUCUUAUAUAAGCGUUAUUUUGUAGCGAAGGUCAACAUUAUGUUUGGAACAAGGAGCUACUUUAGUGCCCAUUUGGUUGUCGAGAAAACUGAGGGAAAGUUGAACGAGAAUUUGACUUCUUUCGAUGAAAUCUAGUGAUAGCACUGUAUGAACUUUUGGUCUUCUUGACAACUAAGAGAGCUGAUGAUUUACUAUCGGUAGCAUGAAAUUAGGGCAUCGGGAUUGAGGGCCUCAAAUUCCAAGAACUUGAUUCAACACUUCAUCCUAGAAGAUCUUUUUAUUCCUAAGGUUUCAAAUAUGGAUUUUUUUCUUUCCUCCCCCCCCCCCCCCCCCCUUUUUAAAAAUUAAAAAUAUAAUUUUUUUUUCUUUUCCCCAAAAAAAAAAAAAAAAAAGGGAUUUUGGUUUUAAAAUUUUUUAAAUGGGGGGGAAAAUCUUUUACUUGUGUUUUUUUAAACUCUUUUAUUUUGGGAACACCAAAUUAACUUUUGUUUUUUUCCCCCCAAAAUUGGGUUUUUACAUGGGGUUUUAUAUUUGUCAAAAAAUAAUUUAAAAAAUCCCCCCCUUUGUUGUCUUUGUUCAGCAUUUGCAAUUUUAAAUUUUUUUAUGUGGCCAAAAGUUUCAUUUAAUUUUGGCUUCCUUUUUAAAAAACCCCCCUUUUUUUUUUUGGGUUGUGUUUUUGGGGGGUGUAUAAAAAGGGUGGGGGGGGUUUUUUUGGAGGNNNNNNNNNNNNNNNNNNNNNNNNNNNNNNNNNNNNNNNNNNNNNNNNNNNNNNNNNNNNNNNNNNNNNNNNNNNNNNNNNNNNNNNNNNNNNNNNNNNNCGGACCACGUCGAGGGGUGGUUCCGCUCGCCGAUGUACUCUUCAUCAGGCGAGUGGGUGGAAAGAGUGUCGACCACCGCCAUGAAGCUGGUGGAUUGGAGGACGCCGGGCAGCGCGGAGAGGUAGUAGCGUUGUGGGUCGUUGAGGAAGUUGGUGUAUUCGGGGUCCGUUGGUUCCGGGAUGAGGCGGCGCAUGAGCGGAGGGCGGUUGGGGACGUAGCCGCCGUAGGGAUAUUGGCCGAAGUUUAGGGCAGCGUGUUGGGCGGAGGCGAGCCAGAUGAGGGUGGUAAGGAUUGAAGCGAGGUCGUCUGGGGUGGAGAGGGAGGGCCACCAGGCGGCGUGGCGGAGAUCAGCAUGGCCAACGUUGACGGCCUCGGAGUACCAGGCUUGAAGCUCCCCCCCCCCCCCUUUUUAAAGAUUCAGAACUAUAAUUUCUUUUCCUUUCCUCAACAAAGAAACAGAGCAAUGUAAUUUGCAUUCUACAAUUCUAUAACUGUGAGGAAAACUCAUUAGCUUGUCUAUUUUAGAGCUCUUUAAUUGUGGAAUCACUAAUUAAGCUUAUGUUUUUAUCCCCCAAAAUUUGGUUAUCUACAUGGGUUAUCAUAUUGAUCAAAGAUUAGUUAAUAACAUCACUCACUUGAUUGUCUAUGUACAGCAUUGCAAUUUUGAACUUUAUCUAUGUGCCUAAAUGUUACAUUAAUUUGUGCUUCACUUUUGAAGAACUCCCCUUUUGAUUUUGUGGUUUGUAUUUUGGCA